rnacentral:rRNA from 1 species
UACAUGUGGGGCAAACGUUGUUCGGAAUCACUGGGCAUAAAGGGCGUGUAGGCGGCCGGACAAGUUGUGGUUGAAAUCCCCCGGCUCAACCGGGGAACAGGCUGCAAAACUGUCUGGCUGGAGGAUGGCAGGGGAGUGUGGAACGAUCGGUGGAGCGGUGAAAUGCGUAGAUAUCGGUCGGAACACCGGUGGCGAAGGCGACACUCUGGGCCAUACCUGACGCUGAGGCGCGAAAGCGUGGGGAGCAAACAGG